rnacentral:rRNA from 1 species
GGUUCGAUUCUGGCUCAGAUUGAACGCUGGCGGGAUGCUUUACACAUGCAAGUCGAACGGCAGCACGGACUUCGGUCUGGUGGCGAGUGGCGAACGGGUGAGAAGUGUAUCGAACGUGCCUAGUAGCGGGGAUAACUACGCGAAAGGUAGCCAAUACCGCAUACCCUUCGGGGGAAAGCGGGGGACCUUCGGGCCUCGCACUAUUAGAGCGGCCGAUAUUGUUGACGAUUAGCUUAAGUUGGUGGGGUAACGGCUCACCAAGGCGACGAUCCGUAGCUGGUUUGAGAGGACGACCAGCCACACUGGGACUGGAGACACGGCCCAGACUCCUACGGGAGGCAGCAGUGGGGAAUUUUGGACAAUGGGGGAAACCCCUGAUCCAGCCAUCCCGCGUGUGCGAUGGGUACCCUUCGGGUUGUAAAGCACUUUUGGCAGGAAAGAAACGGCACGGGAUAACAGCCCGUGCAACUGACGGUACCUGCAGAAUAAGCACCGGCUAACUACGUGCCAGCAGCCGCGGUAAUACGUAGGGUGCAAGCGUUAAUCGGAAUUACUGGGCGUAAGCGUGCGCAGGCGGUUCGGAAAGAAAGAUGUGAACCCCAGAGCUUAACUUUGGAACUGUGCAUUUUUAACUACCGAGCUAGAGUGUGUCAGAGGGAGGUGGAAUUCCGCGUAGCAGUGAAAUGCGUAGAUAUGCGGAGGAACACCGAUGGCGAAGGCAGCCCCGGGGAUAACACUGACGCUCAUGCACGAAAGCGUGGGGAGCAAACAGAUUUUCAGAUGGUUCUGGUAGUCCACGCCCUAAACGAUGUCAACUAGCUGUUGGGGCCUUCGGGCCCCUGGUAGCGCAGCUAACGGCGAAGCGACCGCCUGGGGAGUACGGUCGCAAGAUUAAACCCAAAGGAAUUGACGGGGACCCGCACAAGCGGUGGAUGAUGUGGAUUACACCUGGAUGCAACGCGAAAAACCUACCUACCCUUGACAUGUCUGGAAUCCCGUCGCGAGAUUUGGGAGUGCUCGCAAGAGAACCGGAACACAGGUGCUGCAUGGCUGUCGUCAGCUCGUGUCGAGAUGUCAAGGUUGUCCUCAACGAGCGGCAACCUCUUGUCAUUAGUUGCUACGAAAGGGCACUCUAAUGAGACUGCCGGUGACAAACUUCGAGGAAGGUGGGGAGAUGACGUCAAGUCCUCGUCUCGGUGGUAGCUCACACGUCAUACAAUGGUCGGGACAGAGGGUCGCUAACCCGCGAGGGGGAGCCAAUCCCAGAAACCCGAUCGUAGUCCGGAUCGCAGUCUGCAACUCGGACCAGUGAAGUCGGAAUCGCUAGCACCUGCGGAUCAGCAUGUCGCGGUGAAUACGUUCCCGGGUCUUGCACACACCGCCCGUCACACCAUGGAGUGGGUUUUACCAGAAGUAGUUAGCCUAACCGUAAGGAGGGCGAUUACCACGGUAGGAUUCAUGACUGGGGGUGAAGUCGUAACAUGUAG